GGGUCAGUAGGUUGGUCGUGCCACCGGUACGUACUGGUCUCACUGAUUCCUCCUUCCUGAAGAACCGUAAUGCCAUUAAUUUGGUGUUGCGGGGAAACAGGACUGUUACUUUGAAAAAAUUAGAGUGUUUAAAGCAAGCUAACGCUUGAAUACAUUAGCAUGGAGUAAUGAAAUAGGACGAUCGAUCCUAUUUUGUUGGCUUCUAGGAUUGACGUA
rnacentral:rRNA from 1 species